GACGAACGCUGGCGGCGUGCCUAAUACAUGCAAGUCGAGCGGAGUGGUGAGGGAGCUUGCUCCCGAACCACUUAGCGGCGGACGGGUGAGUAACACGUAGGCAACCUGCCCUUCAGACUGGGAUAACUACCGGAAACGGUAGCUAAUACCGGAUAAUUCCUUUCUUCGCCCGAGGGGCGGAUGAAAGACGGAGCAAUCUGUUACUGAGGGAUGGGCCUGUGGCGCAUUAGCUAGUUGGUGGGGUAACGGCUCACCAAGGCGACGAUGCGUAGCGGACCUGAGAGGGUGAACGGCCACACUGGGACUGAGACACGGCCCAGACUCCUACGGGAGGCAGCAGUAGGGAAUCUUCCGCAAUGGGCGAAAGCCUGACGGAGCAACGCCGCGUGAGUGAUGAAGGUUUUCGGAUCGUAAGGCUCUGUUGCCAGGGAAGAACGUUCUCUAGAGUAACUGCUAGAGAAGUGACGGUACCUGAGAAGAAAGCCCCGGCUAACUACGUGCCAGCCGCCGCAGUAACAC
rnacentral:rRNA from 1 species